rnacentral:rRNA from 1 species
GAUGAACGCUGGCGGCGUGCCUAAUACAUGCAAGUCGAACGAACAGACGAUGCGCUUGCUCCUCUCACGUUAGCGGCGGACGGGUGAGUAACACGUGAAUAACCUACCUAUAAGACUGGGAUCACUUCGGCAAACCGGAGCUCCUACCGGAUAAUAUAUUGAACCUCAUGGUUGAAUAGUGAAAGACGGUUUUGCUGACACUUAUAGCUAGCUCCGCGCCGCAUGAGCUAGUUGGUAAGGUAACGGCUUACCAAGGCAACGAUGGGUGGCCGACCUGGGAGGGGGAUGGGCCACACUGGAACUGGGACACGGUCCAGACUCCUACGGGAGGCAGCAGUAGGGAAUCUUCGGAAAUGGGCGAAAGCCUGACGGAGCAACGCCGCGUGGGUGAUGAGGGUCUUCGGAUCGUAAAACUCUGUUAUUAGGGAAGAACAAAUGUGUAAGUAACUAUGCACGUCUUGACGGUACCUAAACAGAAAGCCACGGCUAACUACGUG